GAUGAACGCUGGCGGCGUGCCUAAUACAUGCAAGUCGAGCGAACGGACGAGAAGCUUGCUUCUCUGAUGUUAGCGGCGGACGGGUGAGUAACACGUGGAUAACCUACCUAUAAGACUGGGAUAACUUCGGGAAACCGUAGCUAAUACCGGAUGAUAUUUUGAACCGCAUGGUUCAAAAGUGAAAGACGGUCUUGCUGUCACUUAUAGAUGGAUCCGCGCUGCAUUAGCUAGUUGGUAAGGUAACGGCUUACCAAGGCAACGAUGCAUAGCCGACCUGAGAGGGGGAAUCGCCCACCCGGAAAUGGGACCAGGUUCCAACCCCUAAGGGAGGGAGGCAUAGGGGAAUCUUCCGCAUGGGCGAAAGCCCGACGGAGCAAAGCCGCGUGAGUGAUGGAGGUCUUCCGGUCGGAAAACCCCGUUAAUUGGGAAAAACAAAUUUUGAAAUAACCGUGCACCACUUGACGGUAACUAAACAAGAAAGCACGGCUAAAUUACGG
rnacentral:rRNA from 1 species